rnacentral:rRNA from 1 species
GAUAAACGCUGGCGGCGUGCCUAAUACAUGCAAGUCGUGCGGUAAGGCCCCUUCGGGGGUACGCGAGCGGCGGACGGCAGAGUAACGCGUAGGAACGUACCCCAAAGUGAGGGAUAACUGCUCGAAAGAGUAGCUAAUACCGCAUAUGAUCUUCGGAUUAAAGCAGCAAUGCGCUUUGGGAACGGCCUGCGUCCGAUUAGCUAGUUGGUAGAGUAAUAGCCUACCAAGGCGACGAUCGGUAGCUGGUCUGAGAGGAUGAUCAGCCUGACUGGAACUGAGACACGGUCCAGACUCCUACGGGAGGCAGCAGUGGGGAAUUUUGGACAAUGGGCGAAAGCCUGAUCCAGCCAUUCCGCGUGCAGGAUGAAGGCCCUCGGGUUGUAAACUGCUUUUGUACAGAACGAAAAGGUUUCUACUAAUACUAGGAGCUCAUGACGGUACUGUAAGAAUAAGCACCGGCUAACUACGUGCCAGCCGCCGCGGUAA